AAUGCCGAAGACGCCGAAAAGUGUCCUUGUCAGGCAAUGGACCAGUGGAUCGCAGUGCUACUCCGUCGAUGGAGAAUCGGUAUUUUGCCAUCCAUGUGGAAAGCAGGGCACUGUUUCGCAUU
rnacentral:lncRNA from 1 species